rnacentral:rRNA from 1 species
GAUGAACGCUGGCGGCGUGCUUAACACAUGCAAGUCGAACGGAAAGGCCCAAGCUUGCUUGGGUACUCGAGUGGCGAACGGGUGAGUAACACGUGGGUGAUCUGCCCUGCACUUCGGGAUAAGCCGGGGAAACGGGGUCUAAUACCGGAUAGGACAACUUCGUAGUUGUUGUGGUGGAAAGUUUUUUCGGUGUGGGAUGAGCUCGCGGCCUAUCAGCUUGUUGGUGGGGUAAUGGCCUACCAAGGCGUCGACGGGUAGCCGGCCUGAGAGGGUGUACGGCCACAUUGGGACUGAGAUACGGCCCAGACUCCUACGGGAGGCAGCAGUGGGGAAUAUUGCACAAUGGGCGGAAGCCUGAUGCAGCGACGCCGCGUGGAAGAUGACGGCCUUCGGGUUGUAAACUCCUUUCGCCAAAGACGAAUUUAGGACGUUAUUUGGAGAAGAAGCACCGGCUAACUACGUG